rnacentral:tRNA from 2 species
GCGGCAUAGCUCAGUUGGCUAGAGCGCCUGGUUCAUACCCAGUAGGUCGUAGGUUCAAAUCCCACUGCCGC